rnacentral:rRNA from 1 species
GACGAACGCUGGCGGCGUGCCUAAUACAUGCAAGUCGAACGCAGUGGGGACGGGUGAUUAACACGUGGGUAACCUCCCAUCAGAGGGGAUAACACUUGGAAAACGUUGCUAAACCGAUACGGAUGUAUGUACCCGCUGUGCAUUAGCUAGUUGGUGAGGUAACGGCUCACCAAGUCCACGAUGCCUAGCGGACCUGAGAUGGUGCUCGGCCACAGUGGGACUGUGACACGGCCCAGACUCCUACGGGAGGCAGCAGUAGGGAAGAGUCGGCAAUGGACGAAAGCCUGACCGAGCAACGCCGCGUGAGUGAAGAAGGUUUUCGGAUCGUAAAACUCUGUUGUUAGGGAAGCGGUAUCUAACGAGAAAGCAACGGCUAACUACGUGCCAGCAGCCGCGGUAAUAC